GGUGAAGCUGGUGCAUAGCAGUGAGACUCCUCAAUAUUCAAGGGUGAAGCUGGUGCAUAGCAGUGAGACUCAAGAUUCAAGGUUUGUGCCGAGUUUCACCGAAUCACAAACGUCAACCUACGGAACCAGUU